rnacentral:rRNA from 1 species
CCUACGGGUGGCAGCAGUGAGGAAUAUUGGUCAAUGGACGAGAGUCUGAACCAGCCAAGUAGCGUGAAGGAUGACUGCCCUAUGGGUUGUAAACUUCUUUUAUAUGGGAAUAAAAUGUUCCACGUGUGGGAUUUUGUAUAUACCAUCUGAAUAAGGAUCGGCUAACUCCGUGCCAGCAGCCGCGGUAAUACGGAGGAUCCGAGCGUUAUCCGUAUUUAUUGGGUUUAAAGGGAGCGUAGGUGGAUUGUUAAGUCAGUUGUGAAAGUUUGCGGCUCAACCGUAAAAUUGCAGUUGAAACUGGCAGUCUUGAGUACAGUAGAGGUGGGUGGAAUUCGUGGUGUAGCGGUGAAAUGCUUAGAUAUCACGAAGAACUCCGAUUGCGAAGGCAGUUCACUGGACUGCAACUGACACUGAGGCUCGAAAGUGUGGGUAUCAAACAGGAUUAGAUACCCUAGUAGUC